UAUAGUCCUUCUAAAAGCUAAUUAAAUCAGGCUGACUAAUUGAAAUCAACUGAUAGUCAUGAGGUAGUGAUGGAGGCAUGUAAAGUAGAACAGCUGAAAGAUGCGUCUCAGAGUUACCGUGGAGCCCCUAGACCUGAUAGACACAUUCUGGGAUCAUGACUUUUCAAUACAAGAUAAAGUUGAAGAAGGACCCUAGAGUUACUAGAUGCUUCGUCUACAGGCUUCAUCUGGAAUAAACUUUGGGUUCUUUACAUUUUCUGGGAUCUACUCCAAGGCUAAUGAGAGAAAAGACACGAGGAGAUGAGAAGGGUACCUGGCAACAUAUUUAGAGGGAUUGAGUACAAAUUGCAUAAUGAAAGGGCCAAAAGAAAAAUGACAGGCAGCCCAGCUCUCUGACGGAGACAGCACAGGAAGAGUGGGGAUGAGAGGCAUGAUGCAUAAAUAAAAUGCACAACCUCAUAUCAUUGGCCAAAAUGGCAACUGACACAGCAUCUCCACAACAUCAUUUGCCUUCUGUGUCAGUGUACAGUGGGAAUGAGAGGCUGAGAACAUGACUUAUGUCAUCACAGUUAUUGUAAACAGUAAAACAACUUCCAUGGGGAAACUUGCCUGGGACUCUGGACCAUCUUUGGACAUUAAGCCUUUUUUGUCUUGUUUCUAUAUAAUAGCUGGCCUAGCCUAAGUGCCAUGCAGAGAUCUACCACUACCUUGCCACUGCCCAGGACCAGCCUUGUAAGUAAGCUUCCCCCAGUGAAACCAAUUUACUCCCA